rnacentral:tRNA from 1 species
GCGCCUGUUGUUCAGUGGUAGAACAGUAGCCUUCCAAGCUACUUGCGUGAGUUCGAUUCUCACCAGGCGCU